rnacentral:rRNA from 1 species
UAUGCCUUUUGGUGGGGGACAACAGUUGGAAACGACUGCUAAUACCGCAUAAUGUCUACGGACCAAAGUGGGGGACCUUCGGGCCUCACGCCAAAAGAUUAGCCCAAGUGGGAUUAGCUAGUUGGUAAGGUAAUGGCUUACCAAGGCAACGAUCCCUAGCUGGUGUUGAGAGGAUGAUCAGCCACACUGGGACUGAGACACGGCCCAGACUCCUACGGGAGGCAGCAGUGGGGAAUAUUGCACAAUGGNCGCAAGCCUGAUGCAGCCAUGCCGCGUGUGUGAAGAAGGCCUUCGGGUUGUAAAGCACUUUCAGUAAGGAGGAAAGGGUAGUCUUUAAUAGAGGCUAUCUGUGACGUUACUUACAGAAGAAGCACCGGCUAACUCCGUGCCAGCAGCCGCGGUAAUACGGAGGGUGCGAGCGUUAAUCGGAAUUACUGGGCGUAAAGCGUACGCAGGCGGUUUGUUAAGCGAGAUGUGAAAGCCCCGGGCUCAACCUGGGAACUGCAUUUCGAACUGGCAAACUAGAGUGUGAUAGA